GAUGAAGAACGUAGCAAAGUGCGAUAACUAGUGUGAAUUGCAUAUUCAGUGAAUCAUCGAGUCUUUGAACGCAACUUGCGCUCAAUGGUAUUCCAUUGAGCACGCCUGUUUCAGUAUCAAAAACACCCCACAUUCAUAAUUUUGUUGUGAAUGGAAAUGAGAGUUUCGGCUUUAUUGCUGAAUUCUUUAAAAUUAUUAGGCCUGAACUAUUGUUCUUUCUGCCUGAACAUUUUUUUAAUAUAAAGGAAUGCUCUAGUAAAAAGACUAUCUCUGGGGCCUCCCAAAUAAAUCAUUCUUAAAUUUGAUCUGAAAUCAGGCGGGAUUACCCGCUGAACUUAAGCAUAUCAAUAGCGGAGGA
rnacentral:misc_RNA from 1 species